AGAGUUUGAUCCUGGCUCAGGAUGAACGCUAGCUACAGGCUUAACACAUGCAAGUCGAGGGGCAGCAUGAACUUAGCUUGCUAAGUUUGAUGGCGACCGGCGCACGGGUGAGUAACGCGUAUCCAACCUUCCCCUUAGUAGGGCAUAGCCCGUAGAAAUGCGGAUUAAUACCCUAUGUUAUUCGUCGAGGACAUCUGAAGUGAAUCAAAGGUUUACCGCUAAGGGAUGGGGAUGCGUCUGAUUAGGCAGCAGGCGGGGUAACGGCCCACCUGGCCUACGAUCAGUAGGGGUUCUGAGAGGAAGGUCCCCCACAUUGGAACUGAGACACGGUCCAAACUCCUACGGGAGGCAGCAGUGAGGAAUAUUGGUCAAUGGACGAGAGUCUGAACCAGCCAAGUAGCGUGCAGGACGACGGCCCUAUGGGUUGUAAACUGCUUUUAUGCGGGGAUAAAGUGACGUACGUGUACGUUUUUGUAGGUACCGCAUGAAUAAGGACCGGCUAAUUCCGUGCCAGCAGCCGCGGUAAUACGGAAGGUCCGGGCGUUAUCCGGAUUUAUUGGGUUUAAAGGGAGCGCAGGCGGAAGCUUAAGCGUGACGUGAAAUGUAGCCGCUCAACGGCUGAGUUGCGUCGCGAACUGGGUUUCUUGAGUGAGUACGACGUCAGCGGAAUUCGUGGUGUAGCGGUGAAAUGCUUAGAUAUCACGAAGAACUCCGAUUGCGAAGGCAGCUGGCGAGACUGUAACUGACGCUAAAGCUCGAAAGUGCGGGUAUCGAACAGGAUUAGAUACCCUGGUAGUCCGCACGGUAAACGAUGGAUGCCCGCUGUUUGCGAUAUAAUGUAAGCGGCCAAGCGAAAGCGUUAAGCAUCCCACCUGGGGAGUACGCCGGCAACGGNNAAACUCAAAGGAAUUGACGGGGGCCCGCACAAGCGGAGGAACAUGUGGUUUAAUUCGAUGAUACGCGAGGAACCUUACCCGGGCUUGAACUGCCAGCGAACGAUACAGAGAUGUUGAGCUUCGGGGCGCUGGUGGAGGUGCUGCAUGGUUGUCGUCAGCUCGUGCC
rnacentral:rRNA from 1 species